rnacentral:lncRNA from 1 species
AUCUUAAGCGUUUCGUAAAAACAAAACAAACAAAAAACGCCUUUAAAUAGACUCCUAACCACCGACGGUGCCUCUGAGGCUUGCAUGGCUGCUCUGGAACUUAAGAGUGCGCCGCUGUGGAGCCCUCGCCCUCCACCAGCGCCUCACAGAUCUGUCGCACCUAAGCCUCGAACCACCUCACGAGGAGGUUUCUGGUGAGACAAAUGCCCCAUGCAUUGUCCUUUGGGCCACUUCAGCCUUGAUCAAGUACUUAAUUAUAUAAAAGAAGAUGGAGAAUUUAAGAGAAAGGUAAUUGCUUAACUUGCUGUAUUUUGAAUGACAACUUGGAAGUGGAGGGAAAUAUCUAGUGAAUGAAUUGAUGAUUUUUAAGGUCCUGAAUAACACAAACCUUCUUUGCUUCAGCUUUGCUUUAGGUUGAGGUCAUAGGACACAGCCUGGAAAACAG